AUUGAACGCUGGCGGCAGGCCUAACACAUGCAAGUCGAGCGGAGCGGCGGACGGGUGAGUAAUGCCUAGGAAUCUGCCUGGUAGUGGGGGAUAACGUCCGGAAACGGGCGCUAAUACCGCAUACUAUCAGAUGAGCCUGGGUCGGAUUAGCUAGUUGGUGGGGUAAAGGCCUACCGAGGCGACGAUGCGGAACUGGUGUGAGAGGAUGAUCAGUCACACUGGAACAGAGACACGGACCAGCCGCCUAGGGUCGGAAGCGGUGGAGCAUAUUGGAAAAUGGGACAAAGCCUGAUCGCGCCAUGCCGCGUGUCUGAGUAAGGGCUUCGGAUUGUAGAGCACUAUACGUUGGGAGGCGGUACCAGCAGAAUAAGCACCGGCUAACUUCGUGCCAGCCGCCGCGGUAAUUC
rnacentral:rRNA from 1 species